rnacentral:rRNA from 1 species
GACGAACGCUGGCGGCGCGCCUAACACAUGCAAGUCGAACGAGCGAGAGAGAGCUUGCUUUCUCGAGCGAGUGGCGAACGGGUGAGUAACGCGUGAGGAACCUGCCUCAAAGAGGGGGACAACAGUUGGAAACGACUGCUAAUACCGCAUAAGCCCACGACCCGGCAUCGGGUAGAGGGAAAAGGAGCAAUCCGCUUUGAGAUGGCCUCGCGUCCGAUUAGCUAGUUGGUGAGGUAACGGCCCACCAAGGCGACGAUCGGUAGCCGGACUGAGAGGUUGAACGGCCACACUGGGACUGAGACACGGCCCAGACUCCUACGGGAGGCAGCAGUGGGGAAUAUUGCACAAUGGGGGAAACCCUGAUGCAGCUACGCCGCGUGGAGGAAGAAGGUCUGCGGAUUGUAAACUCCUGUUGUGGAGGAAGAUAAUGACGGUACUCAACAAGGAAGUGACGGCUAACUACGUG